rnacentral:rRNA from 1 species
CUCCUCAUGCACUAACGUGCGAAGGGGUUACCUCGAGUGCUACCUGAAGAAGGUGGCUUUUCCUUGGUCUAAAAAGCCUCGGGAAUAAGAGGGGGGCAAGACUGGUGUCAGCCGCCGCGGUAACACCAGCCCCUCGAGUGGUGGGGAUGAUUAUUUGGCCUAAAGCGUCCGUAGCCGGCCGGGUAAGUUUCCCGUUAAAUCCAACGUCUCAAGCGUUGGACUGCGGGAAAUACUGCCUGGCUAGAGAGUGGGAGAGGUCAGCGGUAUUCUGGGGGUAGGGGCGAAAUCCUUUGAUCCCCGGAGGACCACCAGAGGCGAAGGCUGCUGACUAGAACACGUCUGACGGUCAGGGACGAAAGCUGGGGUAGCGAACCGGAUUAGAUA